UAUAAAGAUAAGGAUGGAAAGGAGUGGUGGACCGACUCUAGGAGAUAUUUUGCAUUUUGAUUUUCUUUGUAUGGUGUCGGUUCAAUAUUGUCUUUAUAUAUAGUAUCUGUCUUGUGAGUUUUAGUAAGCUAAAGAAAGAAAAUUAGAGAGAGUUGAGAUAAGAUGCAGAGUGAGCCGUGAGAAGACAGAGAGAGACUUUGAGAACAUAGAGAGUUUGAGAAAAGAGAGAAGUCGAGAGUUUGCAGAGGAGGCCGGAGCUUGAGGACUUGAUGAUCCAGUGAGGAAUUACUCUUUUUCAGUGUAUCAAGGAUGAAUUUGGAUUGCUAGUAGCGGGCUUAGGUGGAAGAGUUGGUGUUGAGGAAUUAUUUAAUUUAUCUUAGAGAUGUUGUAUUUAUUUUUAAAUUGAGGAAUUGAUGUUGUAUCAAUAAAGUGUAUUUUCUUUUGAGAUCCUGGGUGAAUACUGAUGUAUUUGGAUUUGAAUAAAUUGAAGAAUUUAUCUAGAAAAUUCGGGGCAUUA